rnacentral:rRNA from 1 species
AUUGAACGCUGGCGGCAGGCCUAACACAUGCAAGUCGAGCGGAUGAAGGGAGCUUGCUCCUGGAUUCAGCGGCGGACGGGUGAGUAAUGCCUAUGAAUCUGCCUGGUAGUGGGGGAUAACGUCCGGAAACGGGCGCUAAUACCGCAUACGUCCUGAGGGAGAAAGUGGGGGAUCUUCGGACCUCACGCUAUCAGAUGAGCCUAGGUCGGAUUAGCUAGUUGGUGGGGUAAAGGCCUACCAAGGCGACGAUCCGUAACUGGUCUGAGAGGAUGAUCAGUCACACGGGAACUGGGACAGGGUCCAGACGCCUACGGGAGGCAGCAGUGGGGAAUGUUGGACAGUGGGCGAAAGCCUUAUACAGCCAGGGCGCGCGUGUGAAGAAGGUCUUCGGAUUGUAAAGCACUUUAAGUUGGGAGGAAGGGCAGUAAGUUAAUACCUUGCUGUUGUGACGUUACCAACAGAAGAAGCACCGGCUAACUUCGUG